rnacentral:rRNA from 1 species
UCGACUGUUUUACCAAAAACAUAUCUUAUUUAAAUUGUAAUAGGUGAGGUCUGGUCAAUGGAGAGUAAAUUAAAAUAAACUCUUUAAAUUCAUGCCUUAUAAUGAGGGUAAUAAUGUAGCAUAAUAAAUUGGUAUUUAAUUGGUGCCUCGUAGGAAAGGCUUAACGAUUAUAAUUUUGUCUCAGGUCUUUAAUAAAAAAUUAAAUUAGUAGUUAAGAUUCUACUUUAAUAAAAUUAGACAAUAAGACCCUAUAAACCUUUACUAAAACCUUAUAUAAAUAUUAAUUUUUAUUUUAUUUGGUAGUUAGUUUGACUGGGGCAGUAAUCUUUUAUAAUAAAAAAGAAUAUAUUUUUUGUUUAUUUUAUAAAAUUUACAAAUAAAAAUUUUUAUCUUGACCUUAUAAAAAAACUAAAUUUUAUAAUUUAAUAAAUAAAAGGUACUUUAGGGAUAACAGCGAAAUUAUUAAAAUAGAGAUGGUAUCGAAUUUAAAGUUUGCGACCUCGAUGUUGUAUUGAAAUAUCCUAUAGCUGCAGGCGGUUAUAAAGGUUAAAUUGUUCAUUUAUUAAAAUCUUACAUGAUUUGAGUUCAUUCCGUA